GACGAACCGUGCGAACGUUAUUCGGAAUCACUGGGCUUAAAGCGCGUGUAGGCGGGCCGGCACGUCGGUCGCUGAAAUCCCCCGGCUCAACCGGGGAACGGGCGCCGAUACGACCGGCCUGGAGGGGGGUAGGGGGAGCCGGAACUUCCGGUGGAGCGGUGAAAUGCGUUGAGAUCGGAAGGAACGCCCGUGGCGAAAGCGGGCUCCUGGACCCCACCUGACGCUGAGACGCGAAAGCCAGGGGAGCGAACGGG
rnacentral:rRNA from 1 species